rnacentral:lncRNA from 1 species
AUGCACUCAUUAUUGUGAAUCUGUAUCUGACAUUCUUUUGCCUUAAUUGGCACUUGGGAUGUCAUAGAAGAGGAUGUGAAUGAAUGCGUAAUAUUUCACUCUUAUAUUGGUGGAGAAGGUUGAGAUAAGAUGCACGGAAAUCUACUUUUAUUUUCAUAAAGGAGACUAUGAACGAGAUGCACGACAUUCAAAUUUUACUUUC